UAAUUCUAAUGGGUUUUUGCA
ensembl:piRNA 21ur-3178 ncRNA